GACAGGCAGCUAGAAUUUUUAGGUGCUUUAAAAAGGUAGAUUACAAAACAUUGUCAGAUCUAGUAGAGGUGACCGAAGAUUAGUGCGUUCUGUAUGAAAAUAGUACUGUGAAGGAAUAGCAUAAGUUAGUAGUUAGAAGUGGUUUAAAUACGUACCUUUUGCAUCAUGGCUUAACUAGAUUAACUUCAGAAUUGAAGUUCUCGAAAUCUGAUGAGCUAUCUUUAUUCUGCUUUAUAGGUCAUGUUAAUUAAUAAGUUGGUUGUGGCAAAAACUUCUUAAGAAGUAAAGAUAGAUAUGAAAUUUUAUUCGCAUCGGAUGAUAGCUAGUUCUUCCUUAAUGACAUAUCAGUGUCUUAGGUUUUAGUAAAGUUUUACAGUUUAGUGUUGUAGAUAGCUAGUAGUAAGCCUAAUCAGACUUUUGAGGAUAAGCUCGAAAGUUUUAGAUACUUGCAUUUAAUUUUUUGUAAAAUAUAAGCUUAGUAAUGGCUAUUAAAUAGAGGAUUUUGUUAUAAUUCAUGUUCUAAUUAACAAUAUAAUUUAUUUGCUUCACGAGUAAGGAGGAAAUUUUAUUAACUCUAGGUAAAAUGAUUCUAUGUUAAGAUGAGUAUUAAAUUAGUUAUGAGUAGUGUUAAUAGAAUAAAAUUUAAAUUUACAUUAGUGAUAUCAAUACUAAACCAUGAAAAGGAACUCGGCAACUCUGUAUUCUGCCUGUUUAUCAAAAACAUGGCUUCGUGUCGUCUAUAAAUACGAAGUCGGACCUGCCCAGUGAGUUUUAAACGGCCGCGGUACUCUGACCGUGCAAAGGUAGCAUAAUCAUUUGCCUUAUAAUUGAAGGCUGGAAUGAAUGGUUUGACAAGAAUACAUCUGUCUCUUCAUGGUUAUUUAGAAUUUUAUUUUUAGAUGAAAAAGUCUAGAUGUUAUUAAAAGACAAGAAGACCCUAUCGAGCUUCAGAAAAAUUAACAGGAAUAUUAGAGCUCUAUAUCAGUAAAAGAAAGGCUGUUAAAUACUUUGGUUGGGGCAACCUAGGAGUAAGUAAAGCCUCCUAAUUAUAAUAAGUCGGACCUGUGUUGAUCCAAUAAUAAUGAUCAAAGGAAUUAGUUACCGUAGGGAUAACAGCAUUAUCUUUUUCAAGAGCCCAUAUCGAAAAAAAGGUUUGUGACCUCGAUGUUGGACCAGAAUAUCCUAAAGAUGCAGAAGUCUUUAAGGGUUGGUCUGUUCGACCAUUAAAAUUCUACGUGAUCUGAGUUCAGACCGGCGUGAGCCAGGUCAGUUUCUAUCUUUAUAUUUUUUGACUGUGUUUAGUACGAAAGGACCGAUGCAGUGUAUAAAAUGCUACAGGCAGACUAAGUAUAAUUUUUCAUUAAAAUCAAAUUAGCAAAGAAUUAUGCGAUUGACUUAGGAUCAAUA
rnacentral:rRNA from 1 species